rnacentral:rRNA from 1 species
UACGGAGGGGGCUAGCGUUGUUCGGAAUUACUGGGCGUAAAGCGCACGUAGGCGGCUUUUUAAGUCAGGGGUGAAAUCCUGGAGCUCAACUCCAGAACUGCCUUUGAUACUGGGAAGCUUGAGUCCGGGAGAGGUGAGUGGAACUCCGAGUGUAGAGGUGAAAUUCGUAGAUAUUCGGAAGAACACCAGUGGCGAAGGCGGCUCACUGGCCCGGUACUGACGCUGAGGUGCGAAAGCGUGGGGAGCAAACAGG